rnacentral:rRNA from 2 species
UGCAGUCGAACGGUCUCUUCGGAGGCAGUGGCAGACGGGUGAGUAAUGCAUGGGAAUCUACCAUUCUCUACGGAAUAACUCAGGGAAACUUGUGCUAAUACCGUAUACGCCCUUUUGGGGAAAGAUUUAUCGGAGAGUGAUGAGCCCAUGUUGGAUUAGCUAGUUGGUGGGGUAAAGGCCUACCAAGGCGACGAUCCAUAGCUGGUCUGAGAGGAUGAUCAGCCACACUGGGACUGAGACACGGCCCAGACUACUACGGGAGGCAGCAGUGGGGAAUAUUGGACAAUGGGCGCAAGCCUGAUCCAGCCAUGCCGCGUGAGUGAUGAAGGUCUUAGGAUUGUAAAGCUCUUUCACCGGUGAAGAUAAUGACGGUAACCGGAGAAGAAGCCCCGGCUAACUUCGUGCCAGCAGCCGCGGUAAUACGAAGGGGGCUAGCGUUGUUCGGAUUUACUGGGCGUAAAGCGCACGUAGGCGGACUUUUAAGUCAGGGGUGAAAUCCCAGAGCUCAACUCUGGAACUGCCUUUGAUACUGGAAGUCUUGAGUAUGGAAGAGGUGAGUGGAAUUCCGAGUGUAGAGGUGAAAUUCGUAGAUAUUCGGAGGAACACCAGUGGCGAAGGCGGCUCACUGGUCCAUUACUGACGCUGAGGUGCGAAAGCGUGGGGAGCAAACAGGAUUAGAUACCCCGGUAGUCCACGCCGUAAACGAUGAAUGUUAGCCGUCGGGGUGUUUACACUUCGGUGGCGCAGCUAACGCAUUAAACAUUCCGCCUGGGGAGUACGGUCGCAAGAUUAAAACUCAAAGGAAUUGACGGGGGCCCGCACAAGCGGUGGAGCAAGUGGUUUAAUUCGAAGCAACGCGCAGAACCUUACCAGCCC